AUAGCGGCAUCAUUUGACGUUAGCACAGAAGAAGCACCGUGCUCACUCCGUGCUAGCAGCUGCAGUAAUACGGAAGGGUGCGUAGCCGUAAUCUGAAAUUACUGGACGUAGAGCGCAUGCAGGUGGUUGUUAAGUCAGAUGUGAAAGCCCGGGGCUCAACCUCGGAACUGCAUUUGAAACUGGCAGACUAGAGUACUGUAGAGGGGGUAGAAUUUCAGGUGUAGCGGUGAAAUGCGUAGAGAUCUGAAGGAAUACCGGUGGCGAAGGCGGCCCCCUGGACAGAUACUGACACUCAGAUGCGAAAGCGUGGGGAGCAAACAGGAUUAGAUACCCUGGUAGUCCACGCUGUAAACGAUGUCUACUUGGAGGUUGUGGCCUUGAGCCGUGGCUUUCGGAGCUAACGCGUUAAGUAGACCGCCUGGGGAGUACGGUCGCAAGAUUAAAACUCAAAUGAAUUGACGGGGGCCCGCACAAGCGGUGGAGCAUGUGGUUUAAUUCGAUGCAACGCGAAGAACCUUACCUACUCUUGACAUCCAGAGAAUCUAGCGGAGACGCAGGUGUGCCUUCGGGAACUCUGAGACAGGUGCUGCAUGGCUGUCGUCAGCUCGUGUUGUGAAAUGUUGGGUUAAGUCCCGCAACGAGCGCAACCCUUAUCCUUGUUUGCCAGCGAGUAAUGUCGGGAACUCCAGGGAGACUGCCGGUGAUAAACCUGAGGAAGGUGGGGACGACGUCAAGUCAUCAUGGCCCUUACGAGUAGGGCUACACACGUGCUACAAUGGCGCAUACAGAGGGCGGCCAACUUGCGAAAGUGAGCGAAUCCCAAAAAGUGCGUCGUAGUCCGGAUUGGAGUCUGCAACUCGACUCCAUGAAGUCGGAAUCGCUAGUAAUCGUGGAUCAGAAUGCCACGGUGAAUACGUUCCCGGGCCUUGUACACACCGCCCGUCACACCAUGGGAGUGGGCUGCAAAAGAAGUGGUGUAGUUAACUUCGGGAGGACGCUC
rnacentral:rRNA from 1 species